GAUGGACGCUGGCGGCGUGCCUAAUACAUGCAAGUCGAGCGAACGGACGAGAAGCUUGCUUUUCUGAUGUUAGCGGCGGACGGGUGAGUAACACGUGGAUAACCUACCUAUAAGACUGGGAUAACUUCGGGAAACCGGAGCUAAUACCGGAUAAUAUUUUGAACCGCAUGGUUCAAAAGUGAAAGACGGUCUUACUGUCACUUAUAGAUGGAUCCGCGCUGCAUUAGCUAGUUGGUAAGGUAACGGCUUACCAAGGCAACGAUGCAUAGCCGACCUGAGAGGGUGAUCGGCCACACUGGAACUGAGACACGGUCCAGACUCCUACGGGAGGCAGCAGUAGGGAAUCUUCCGCAAUGGGCGAAAGCCUGACGGAGCAACGCCGCGUGAGUGAUGAAGGUCUUCGGAUCGUAAAACUCUGUUAUUAGGGAAGAACAUAUGUGUAAGUAACUGUGCACAUCUUGACGGUACCUAAUCAGAAAGCCACGGCUAACUACGUG
rnacentral:rRNA from 1 species